rnacentral:miRNA from 1 species
UUCCCUGGGAUGCAGUGUGGGU